rnacentral:rRNA from 1 species
GCCGCGUGUGUGAAGAAGGCCUGCGGGUUGUAAAGCACUUUUCUGAAGGAAGAANGACGUACGGUUAAUACCCGUACGGGUUGACGGUACUUCAGGAAUAAUGCACCGGCUAACUCCGUGCCANCAGCCGCGGUAAUACGGAGGGUGCAAGCGUUAAUCGGAAUUACUGGGCGUAAAGCGUACGUAGGCGGUUUGUUAAGUCGGAUGUGAAAUCCCCGGGCUCAACCUGGGAACUGCAUUCGAUACUGGCAGACUAGAGUCUGGUAGAGGGUGGUGGAAUUCCGGGUGUANCGGUNAAAUGCGUANAUAUCCGGAGGAACACCAGUGGCGAAGGCGACCACCUGGCCCAAGACUGACGCUNAGGUACGAAAGCGUGGGGAGCNAACCAGGAUUAGAUACCCUGGUAGUCCACGCCCUAAACGAUGAGAACUAGACGUUGGAGAGAUUCAUCUCUUUAGUGUCG